UACGGAGGGAGCUAGCGUUGUUCGGAAUUACUGGGCGUAAAGCGCACGUAGGCGGCUUUGUAAGUUAGAGGUGAAAGCCCGGGGCUCAACCCCGGAAUUGCCUUUAAGACUGCAUCGCUUGAAUCCGGGAGAGGUGAGUGGAAUUCCGAGUGUAGAGGUGAAAUUCGUAGAUAUUCGGAAGAACACCAGUGGCGAAGGCGGCUCACUGGACCGGCAUUGACGCUGAGGUGCGAAAGCGUGGGGAGCAAACAGG
rnacentral:rRNA from 1 species